rnacentral:tRNA from 1 species
GCCCCUAUAGCUCAGUUGGGAGAGCACCUGACUCUUAAUCAGGGUGUCCCAGGUUCGAGCCCUGGUGGGGGCA